rnacentral:lncRNA from 1 species
UCGAAAAAAAAAAAAAAUUAUCGAUUAAAUUUAAAAUCGAAUAAAAGCUUAAAAUUUAUAUAUAAUAUAUUUAGUAAUUGUUUAUUACAUAUAUAUAUAAUAUAAUUUUAAGUUUUUUUCGAAAUUGACCGACUUUUGCUUUAAUUAUUUAAUAUAUGUUCAGUUGAUUUUUAUUCUUACCCCUGCAUGCUUUAAUAUAUAUAUAUAUAUAUAUAUGUUAUAGAGAAAAACAAAAUUAUAUACGUGUAUAUAUAUCCAUACGUGACUUAUUAAUCUAAAUUUCUUUUUUUUUUUUACUUAUUCUUUAUUUUUUUUUUUUUAUUACUCUUUAUACGAUCCUUAGUAUGUACACUGAUUUUUUAAAAAUGAUGAAACAUGUAUUGCUAUCUAUAGUGUUGUUGUUAGGGCAAUGUUCCAUGUUUUCUUCAGUAUUUGCUGAUACGCCCGCAGAAGAAGUUAACAAAUUAAAUGGUUUAUUUGCAGAAGAUGAUCCAGCUAAAAAAGAUGUAUUAGAUUUAAUAAAUGGUAUAUUCGAAGGUAACAAGGGAGCAGUGCCAUACUCUGUUGAAAAUGAACAACAUAAAUGUGCUUUAACUAAAUUGGAUAUUAUUUUUAAAAAUAAAUCUAAAGCUAUGGAAGCAUUGUUCGAUAAAAAAAAUGAAGAAUUAUUAAAAGAGGCUAUAUCAAUAUAUAAUUUAAAAUUUAACGUUACUUUACAAACUGCAGGCUUCAAUAAUUUAAUCGCACCGAAUGCAAAAAAAAACUUCCGACACACUUUCGCAUAUUUUAUUAAUAAUUUAAGAAGAUCUUUUUUCCAUGUAAAGUGUCAUGGAAAUGAGAAAGACGUUAGUAAAUUAGAAGGUGCUGGCAAUGAAGACACUAUUGAAGAAGAUAAUGAACUUAAUAGCGCUAAUCUAUUAGAGCCAAAAUAUACUGAUGAUUUACCAGAUAUGGAAAGUAUAAUGGACAGUGAGAAUGACUUUUCUGAAGAAACGAAAGAUAGUAAAAAACUAGAUGAAAACAUGAUAGCUGAUUUAAAAGAUUUAAACAGUAUGCUCAGUUAUAUGUAUUCAACACAAAGUGUUUCUGGACUGCUAAACAACAAUGAAGUAUUAUUUGAAAAAGAAGAACACCUUGUUAACGGAUGUGAAGAUAAUGAAGAAUGUCGUGCAAAUUAUGAUAAUCUUACUAUAGAUCAAUGUAUAGAUAUACUAUUAAAAAAUACCGUCAUAGAUAUUGAUGGAUUUUGUACAGAUAAACAAACAAAAGCUACCAAUGAAAACGAAAAUGCUAACAUAAUUACAGAAGAUUCUAAAACUUUA